GUGCGGAAUGGCGUUGUUCACUUGAACGCGGCGGUUUCACCCGAGUUCCUUGCGUGCUUGUUUAAAGUGUGGCGUGCGCUUCACUUCAAAUUUUGCGUGACGCAGCGCAUGGGAUUUUUUGGCUAAAGUGCUUUUCAGGAUGGAUGGAUGGAUACAACUUUCUUGUACGUCCGGCAAGGUUUAACGCGACCUGGGCUCAGGUCUCCCACGGGGGAACGUCAAGGCCCUGCCUCAACGCCGCCUCACGGGCUUGCUGGACUGCCCACGUCUGCAUUCCGAGCGCAGUUUUAAAGAAUUGGAAGCUCUGCGCGAUAUCCAAGAGGAGGAGUGUUGCUGGCGGUCCUAAAGCGCCUCGUGCCGGCAGUUGCCCCACCCGUGCGCCGCCUAUCGAGCGAAUCUGGAGCUCGUCUGAACACGAUCGGAGAAGGCUAGCGGGGAGGACGGAUUCGAACCGCGUCCACAGCGAGCCACGCGUCCCAGUUCGCCCUGCAAGCCCACCCACACGGCUCACCACUCGCACUCCAGCUUUGUAGCACGCAGGAAAUUGCGGAGGACUCGAAGCACCUCCCUCCUAAAUAUACAGUGCGUGGCCUCGGGGGAACAAAAUGCCACUUGCGCUUGUGUGCGAUGUCACCCUAUAGAGUGCAUAUAUUAACUCUGUACGCUUAGUAUCACAUUGUGGGCACUCUAAAAACUCACCAAGAA